AAAGGAAGUGCUGGGAAUGGCUGUGCUGAUCCUGGGGCUGGCACCUGCCCUCCCCUCUCAAUGUCCUGCAGAUCAAAGGAGCCUUGCUGAAGAAAGCAGCUAAUGGACUCCUUGCCAGCAGUGCAACAGCAACAGGAGCUCAGAGCCUGCUGUGCUGAGCCUUUCUGUCUGCCAGAGCACUCUUUCUCUUCCCUAAGUGGAUGAUUUAUGUGAGCAACCACCACAGAUCAAGAUCUAUGUUGUGUGCUUGGAGGGCAAUUGCACACUCUGGAUGUGGCUUCUGAGAAAUCUCUUGCCUCUGCUAGAGCUGAGACUCCGAGUGCAGAUGGUCACCUUGGCUGUGAGAUGCUGCUAAACCCUGUAUUUGCUUCUAUUCAUUAAAAUAUUUUUUUGGUGCUCUGUGUGCAGAGAAGGCCUGAGAAAUUUCAAAUAUCAUGAAUAUGGAUCUGCUAUGAAGGUUAAAUAAAAUUUUAAUUAAAGCAAACUAAACUCUGAAGUUGGAGAGAAGGCUGAAGCAUGCCUCUUCUGGAGUUAUAUUUGCAUGUUUUCCCCAGGGAAGGGU